UUAGCUCACCUCGACGAAGUCGAGAUGAGCUUAUGCUAUACCCCCGGCGUUGGCGUCGGCGUCGGUGUCGGCGUCGGCGUCCCAGGUUAAAGUUUUAGGAGCAAGUCCAUUCCCAAGUAACUAUAAGCCCUACCUGAAACAAACUUGCAUGGAUGAUGCAUCUAGGGAUGUACACUACCAGACUUGCUUUGGAUACUGGAUCUGACCUACAUUUUCCAGAUGAGUGACCAGGUUAAAGUUUUUGGAGCAGGUCCAUUCCCAAGGAACUAUAAGCCCUACCCAGACCAAACUUGCAUGGAUGAUGCAUCUAGGGAUGUACACUACCAGACUUGCUUCGGAUGCUGGAUCUGACCUACAUUUUCCAGAUGAGUGACCAGGUUAAAGUUUUUGGAGCAGGUCCAUUCCACAGGAAUUAUAAGCCCUAUUUGGACCAAACUUGCAUGGAUGAUGCAUCUAGAGAUGGACACUACCAGACUUGCUUCGGAUGCUGGAUCUGACCUACAUUUUCAUUCCCAAGUAACUAUAAGCCCUACCUGAACCAAACUUGCAUGGAUGAUGUAUCUAGGGAUGUACACUACCAGACUAGCUUCGGAUGCUGGAUCUGACCUACAUUUUCAUUCCCAAGUAACUAUAAGCCCUAUUUGGACCAAACUUGCAUGAAUGAUGCAUCUAGCGAUGGAAACUACCAGACUUGCUUCGGAUGUUGGAUCUGAUCUACAUUUUCAUUCCCAAGUAACUAUAAGCCUCUACCUGAACCAAACUUGCAUGGAAGUGUAUCUAGGAAUGGACACUACCAGACUAACUUCGGAUGCUGUAUCUGACCUACAUUUUCAUUCCCAAGUAACUAUAAGCCCUAGCUAAACCAAACUUGCAUGGAUGAUGUAUCUAGGGAUGGACACUACCAGACUUGUUUCGGAUGCUGGAUCUGACCUACAUUUUCAUUCCUAAGUAACUAUAAGCCCUAGCUAAACCAAACUUGCAUUGAUGAUGCAGCUAAGGAUGGACACUAU